GACGAACGCUGGCGGCGUGCUUAACACAUGCAAGUCGAACGGAAAGGCCCUGCUUUUGUGGGGUGCUCGAGUGGCGAACGGGUGAGUAACACGUGAGUAACCUGCCCUUGACUUUGGGAUAACUUCAGGAAACUGGGGCUAAUACCGGAUAGGAGCUCCUGCUGCAUGGUGGGGGUUGGAAAGUUUCGGCGGUUGGGGCUGGACUCGCGGCUUAUCAGCUUGUUGGUGGGGUAGUGGCUUACCAAGGCUUUGACGGGUAGCCGGCCUGAGAGGGUGACCGGCCACAUUGGGACUGCGAUACGGCCCAGACUCCAACGGGAUGCAGCAGUGGGGAAUAUUGCACAAUGGGCGGACGCCUGAUGCGGCAACGCCGCGUGCGGGAUGACGGCCUUCGGGUUGUAAACCGCUUUCGCCUGAGACGAAGCGUGAGUGACGGUAAUGGGUAAAGAAGCACCGGCUAACUACGUG
rnacentral:rRNA from 1 species